rnacentral:rRNA from 1 species
ACGGCUCAGUAACACGUGGAUAACCUGCCCUUGGGUCCGGCAUAACUCCGGGAAACUGGAGAUAAUUCCGGAUAACGCACAUAUGCUGGAAUGCUUUAUGCGUAAAAUGGAUUCGUCUGCCCAAGGAUGGGUCUGCGGCCUAUCAGGUAGUAGUGGGUGUAAUGUACCUACUAGCCAACAACGGGUACGGGUUGUGAGAGCAAGAGCCCGGAGAUGGACUCUGAGACAUGAAUCCAGGCCCUACGGGGCGCAGCAGGCGCGAAAACUUUACAAUGCGGGAAACCGUGAUAAGGGGACACCGAGUGCCAGCAUCAUAUGCUGGCUGUCCAGGUGUGUAAAAUACACCUGUUAGCAAGGGCCGGGCAAGACCGGUGCCAGCCGCCGCGGUAACACCGGCGGCCCGAGUGGUGAUCGUGAUUAUUGGGUCUAAAGGGUCCGUAGCCGGUUCGGUCAGUCCUCCGGGAAAUCUGAUAGCUCAACUAUUAGGCUUUCGGGGGAUACUGCCAGGCUUGGAACCGGGAGAGGUAAGAGGUACUACAGGGGUAGGAGUGAAAUCUUGUAAUCCCUGUGGGACCACCUGUGGCGAAGGCGUCUUACCAGAACGGGUUCGACGGUGAGGGACGAAAGCUGGGGGCACGAACCGGAUUAGAUACCCGGGUAGUCCCAGCCGUAAACGAUGCUCGCUAGGUGUCAGGCAUGGCGCGACCGUGUCUGGUGCCGCAGGGAAGCCGUGAAGCGAGCCACCUGGGAAGUACGGCCGCAAGGCUGAAACUUAAAGGAAUUGGCGGGGGAGCAC